rnacentral:rRNA from 2 species
GGCUCAGAUUGAACGCUGGCGGCAGGCCUAACACAUGCAAGUCGAGCGGUAGAGAGAAGCUUGCUUCUCUUGAGAGCGGCGGACGGGUGAGUAAUGCCUAGGAAUCUGCCUGGUAGUGGGGGAUAACGUUCGGAAACGGRCGCUAAUACCGCAUACGUCCUACGGGAGAAAGCAGGGGACCUUCGGGCCUUGCGCUAUCAGAUGAGCCUAGGUCGGAUUAGCUAGUUGGUGAGGUAAUGGCUCACCAAGGCGACGAUCCGUAACUGGUCUGAGAGGAUGAUCAGUCACACUGGAACUGAGACACGGUCCAGACUCCUACGGGAGGCAGCAGUGGGGAAUAUUGGACAAUGGGCGAAAGCCUGAUCCAGCCAUGCCGCGUGUGUGAAGAAGGUCUUCGGAUUGUAAA